rnacentral:rRNA from 1 species
UACGUAGGGGGCAAGCGUUGUCCGGAUUUAUUGGGCGUAAAGGGCGCGUAGGCGGCACCCUAAGUCAGAUGUGAAAACCCGGGGCUUAACUCCGGACGUGCAUUUGAAACUGGGGAGCUUGAGUGCAGGAGAGGUAAGUGGAAUUCCUAGUGUAGCGGUGAAAUGCGUAGAUAUUAGGAGGAACACCAGUGGCGAAGGCGACUUACUGGACUGUAACUGACGCUGAGGCGCGAAAGCGUGGGGAGCAAACAGG